UACAGAGGGGGCAAGCGUUGUUCGGAAUUACUGGGCGUAAAGGGCGCGUAGGCGGCCGCCUAAGUCAGACGUGAAAUCCCUCGGCUCAACCGGGGAACUGCGUCUGAUACUGGGUGGCUUGAAUUCGGGAGAGGGAUGCGGAAUUCCAGGUGUAGCGGUGAAAUGCGCAGAUAUCAGGAAGAACACCCGUGGCGAAGGCGGUUCUCUGGGACGGUACUGACGCUGAGACGCGAAAGCGUGGGGAGCGAACAGG
rnacentral:rRNA from 1 species